rnacentral:rRNA from 1 species
UACGGGGGGGGCAAGCGUUGUUCGGAAUUACUGGGCGUAAAGGGCGCGUAGGCGGCCUACUAAGUCGGACGUGAAAUCCCUCGGCUCAACCGGGGAACUGCGUCCGAUACUGGUGGGCUUGAAUCCGGGAGAGGGAUGUGGAAUUCCCGGUGUAGUGGUGAAAUGCGUAGAUAUCGGGGAGGAACACCAGUGGCGAAAGCAGCUCUCUGGGACGGUACUGACGCUGAGACGCGAAAGCGUGGGGAGCGAACAGG